GGGGUUGUGGCUCAGUGGGAGAGCUCUUGUCUAGCAUGCAGGAGGCACUGGGUUUGACCCCCAGCACCA
rfam:Ictidomys tridecemlineatus contig087961, whole genome shotgun sequence.